rnacentral:rRNA from 1 species
AUUGAACGCUGGCGGCAGGCUUAACACAUGCAAGUCGAGCGGGGGAGGUUGCUUCGGUAACUGACCUAGCGGCGGACGGGUGAGUAAUGCUUAGGAAUCUGCCUAUUAGUGGGGGACAACAUCUCGAAAGGGAUGCUAAUACCGCAUACGUCCUACGGGAGAAAGCAGGGGACCUUCGGGCCUUGCGCUAAUAGAUGAGCCUAAGUCGGAUUAGCUAGUUGGUGGGGUAAAGGCCUACCAAGGCGACGAUCUGUAGCGGGUCUGAGAGGAUGAUCCGCCACACUGGGACUGAGACACGGCCCAGACUCCUACGGGAGGCAGCAGUGGGGAAUAUUGGACAAUGGGGGGAACCCUGAUCCAGCCAUGCCGCGUGUGUGAAGAAGGCCUUUUGGUUGUAAAGCGCUUUAAGCGAGGAGGAGGCUACUGGUAUUAAUACUACCGGAUAGUGGACGUUACUCGCAGAAUAAGCACCGGCUAACUCUGUGCCAGCCGCCGCCGUAACAC